rnacentral:tRNA from 1 species
AUUUUUAUAGCUUAAAAAAUAGAGCAUAGUAUUGAAGAUACUAGGGUAACAUUGAGUGUUUGAAAAUA